rnacentral:rRNA from 1 species
AACGAACGCUGGCGGCAUGCCUAACACAUGCAAGUCGAACGAUGCCUUCGGGCAUAGUGGCGCACGGGUGCGUAACGCGUGGGAAUCUGCCUUGGGGUUCGGAAUAACUCCCCCGAAAGGGGUGCUAAUACCGGAUGAUGUCGAAAGACCAGAGAUUUAUCGCCCUGAGAUGAGCCCGCGUAGGAUUAGCUAGUUGGUGUGGUAAAGGCGCACCAAGGCGACGAUCCUUAGCUGGUCUGAGAGGAUGAUCAGCCACACUGGGACUGAGACACGGCCCAG